rnacentral:lncRNA from 1 species
AAAGUCCUAUGCCCAAAUUUUAAAGAUUAUUCAAUUUCCACCGCCCAUUUUGACAUAAUUUAUUUACUAAGUAAACGAUGUCGAAAAAAACUAAAAUUUUAUUCCUAAGAACUUCAUAUACCAUAGAUCAUAUUUAACGGUGUGGAUCAUUAAUUUGAACACCCUAAGAUCGAAAACAAGACUAUAGUACCGGAGCUCCGGUACUACAGAUAGUAUAGUAGCCUAAUUCUCUAUAUAUAUAUAUCAAGCCCUUGAUACUAUUGAGUUUUUGGCCAUUGGAUGAAAGGAUGUGCAGUUAGGAUGAUAGUGGUCCCGUAGGGUUGAGUGGGUGGUUGGUUUAAUAGUAUAAUCUAACGGGUGGAAAUGAUCACGGGGUAGAUCUAAUGAUGGAAAACUCAAUUGUACCAAUGUCUUGGUACUAUCAAUAGUAUAGUAGCCAGACUCAUAUAUAUAUAUAUAUAGAGAGAGAGAGAGAGAGAGAGAGAGAGAGAGAGAGAGAGAGAGAGAGUCCGGCUACUAUACUAUUAUGAGUACGAUCUCUCUCGUACUCAUAAGUUGUUUUUCAUGGUAGAGCUUCCGAAUCGACGAUCCACACCAUUAAACGUUAUCUAGAGCAUUUGAAACAUUUAGAAAUCAAAUUUUAUAAUUUUUCGACAUCAUUUACCUUACGAUCAAAAGCUCACAAUAUUGAUAAUUUUUAACGGCCGGUAUGGAAUACUUGCUAGUUUAACGGUGCAAAAGAAUUCGAAUAGAUUGAAUUUUUUACAGAAAAUUCUAUUCACUACCUAGAUAUAGAUCAAUAACUCCGAUCUUAAAUUGAAAGAUCUGAUCAUAGAUUUUUAAGACAUCGUUUGAUUUUGACCGUUCAUUUUAUGCCGGCUUGAUGGACUUUAUUAUGAUUUCGAAAAAUUACGAAAUUUAUUUUCUAGAAGUUUCAAAUACUCUAGAUCAUAUUUAACGGAGUGGAUCGUCGAUUCGGAAGCUCCACCAUCGAAAACAACUUAUGAGUACGAAGGGCCCAAUACUCAUAAUAGUGUAGUAGCCCUACGAUAUAUAUAUAUAUAGGAUGGGGCUACUAUACUCUUACGAGUAUAGACCCUCUUGUACUCAUAAAUUUUAACCGUUGAUUGAUGGGAUGUGUGGUUAGGAUGAUGGUGGUCCCCACUUAAAAUAAUAGUUGUCCCCUAGGAUUGAGUGGGUAGUUGGUUAAAUAGUAUGAUCUAACGGAUGAAAAUGAUUAAUAGAAUAAAUUUAAGGGCCGAAAACUUAUGAGUAUAAGGAAGCCAAUACUCAUAAAAGUAUAGUAGCCGGACUCUAUGUAGAAUUAGACUACUAUACUAUCUAUAGUACCGGAGCUCCGGUACUAUAGUCCAAUUUUCGAUCUUAGGUUGUUCAAAUCAACGAUCCACACCAUUAAAUAUGAUCUAGGGUAUAUGAAGUUCUUAGGAAUAAAAUUUUAGGUUUUUUCAACAUCGUUUACUUAGUAAAUUAAUUAUGUCAAAAUGGAUGGUGAAAAUUGAAUAAUCUUUAAAAUUUGAGCAUAGGACUUUUAAAUUCAAGAUCAAGAAUGUUAACCUUAAUCUAGAUAGUUUAAAGUAUUUUCUAUCAAAAUUUGAAGAAAUUUAGAUUCUUCUACACCGUUAAACUCCAAACUCACCAUAGUAGCCAUUAAAAAUUGAUAAUUUUGAAAUGGUUUGAUCAUAAAUUAAACUAUGUCGAAAAAAUAUAAAAUUUUAUUUCUAAAAACUUU